AUUGAACGCUGGCGGCAUGCCUUACACAUGCAAGUCGAACGGCAGCAUGGAGAGCUUGCUCUCUGAUGGCGAGUGGCGAACGGGUGAGUAAAGCAUCGGAACGUACCGUGUAGUGGGGGAUAACGUAGCGAAAGUUACGCUAAUACCGCAUACGCACUGAGGGGGAAAGCAGGGGAUCGCAAGACCUUGCGCUAUACGAGCGGCCGAUGUCAGAUUAGCUAGUUGGUAGGGUAAAGGCCUACCAAGGCGACGAUCUGUAGCGGGUCUGAGAGGACGACCAGCCACACUGGGACUGAGACACGGCCCAGACUCCUACGGGAGGCAGCAGUGGGGAAUUUUGGACAAUGGGCGCAAGCCUGAUCCAGCCAUGCCGCGUGUGUGAAGAAGGCCUUCGGGUUGUAAAGCACUUUCGGACGGAACGAAAUCGCGCGGGUGAACAAUCCGCGUGGAUGACGGUACCGUAAGAAGAAGCACCGGCUAACUACGUGCCAGCCGCCGCCGUAA
rnacentral:rRNA from 1 species